AAAAUUACUAACCAUGAUGAUUGGGUUUUCAUGAUAAGGCAUGAAAUGCACCUCCUUCAAACCUUCUUAUGAUGUCACCACAUUCCCCAUGUGAUG
ensembl:snoRNA